UGUAAUUUGCCUUUUUAAGAAGGCAUUUGUUCAAACAUUGAAAACUCUUGGAACCUUUGGCCAUUUGAUGUUUUUGAAAAAGCUUACAUAACUCCUUUUAGCUCCAUAUUUCUCUCAAAUUUUCAUUCUCUAAAAAGAGUCCCACCACUCUAUUCAAAGCCUUGAGAAUAGCUAGGAAGACCUCUUAGUGGUCCUCAUUGGAGCUAUUUGAAGAAAUUUGAAAAGCUACAAAUACUACAAGAAUUCAGGGUUUCGGCGACAACGAAUUUCAUCGCUAAAAGGGAUGACUUCUAAUACACAAAGAGGUUGCGGAUUGAAUGAAUAUUUUUGGACAGUAGAGGAAGAUGCAGUGUUGGUGGGCGCACUUCAAGAACUAAGUCAUAGUAGUUUAUGGCGAGCAGAAAAUGGACUCAAGAAUGGGUAUUUGAAUCAAAUUGAACAAUUCAUGUUGGAAAAAUUACCUUCGUCUACCUUAAAGCCAUCUCCCACACAUUGAAUCUCGAGUGAGAACGCUAAAGUCCAAAUACAAUGCACUAGCCAAGUUGCUUAGAGAUAAAAGUGAAUUUAGUUGGAAUGGAUGAACUCCUGACAUUACAAUGUGAAAGAAGUGCGUAUGAUGAGUGGGUCAAUGUAUGUAGAAGAAAAUAAUUUUAGAUCACAUUAUUCAAAUAUUCCAACAAGUUAUAUUUUUUAACUUGUAGGUUCAUAAGGAUGCUAGUGGUUUAUCUGGAAAACUUUUUCCUCACUAUUAUGCUCUAGGAGAAAUAUUUGGAAAAGAUCAUGUCACUGGUCAACAUGCAGGUACUGUUGAUGACGAUGAAGAAGAAAUUAGAAUGGGGGAUCCUAGCUCUCGUCAUGGUUCCCAUGUAGAUAUCAAUGACUUUGAUAUGCAUUUUGACAUUCAGAAUGACAUAUUUAAUCCAGUUGAUGAUGAAGGGACAUCAUUUUCACAACCUCAACCGCAACCCAAUUUCACUGAUAAAAGUUCAAGUGGAGGUCAUAAAAGGAAAGCAUGCAACAAGGAUGGAAUGAGUUAUCAUAUCGAACGCAUGGCAAAUUCGGUGACAGAAGUGGCACUAAAGCUUGAUGGGCUUAUAGAAGUCCUUUUAAAUGAUAGAGAAGUGACUAACAUACAAGAUCGACUAACUGAUGAGUUAAAACAAAUAGACGGAGAAGAAAGAGUUGCUAAGAAAUUUUUUCACCAUGAAAGAAGAGAAGAAGAAAGAGUAUGUUCUAAACUUAUUAGAACAUGAAGUUUGACUCUUA